GGGUUGUGAGGUUAAGCGACUAAGCGUACACGGUGGAUGCCCUGGCAGUCAGAGGCGAUGAAGGACGUGCUAAUCUGCGAUAAGCGUCGGUAAGGUGAUAUGAACCGUUAUAACCGGCGAUUUCCGAAUGGGGAAACCCAGUGUGUUUCGACACACUAUCAUUAACUGAAUCCAUAGGUUAAUGAGGCGAACCGGGGGAACUGAAACAUCUAAGUACCCCGAGGAAAAGAAAUCAACCGAGAUUCCCCCAGUAGCGGCGAGCGAACGGGGAGCAGCCCAGAGCCUGAAUCAGUGUGUGUGUUAGUGGAAGCGUCUGGAAAGGCGCGCGAUACAGGGUGACAGCCCCGUACACAAAAAUGCACAUGCUGUGAGCUCGAUGAGUAGGGCGGGACACGUGGUAUCCUGUCUGAAUAUGGGGGGACCAUCCUCCAAGGCUAAAUACUCCUGACUGACCGAUAGUGAACCAGUACCGUGAGGGAAAGGCGAAAAGAACCCCGGCGAGGGGAGUGAAAAAGAACCUGAAACCGUGUACGUACAAGCAGUGGGAGCACGCUUAGGCGUGUGACUGCGUACCUUUUGUAUAAUGGGUCAGCGACUUAUAUUCUGUAGCAAGGUUAACCGAAUAGGGGAGCCGAAGGGAAACCGAGUCUUAACUGGGCGUUAAGUUGCAGGGUAUAGACCCGAAACCCGGUGAUCUAGCCAUGGGCAGGUUGAAGGUUGGGUAACACUAACUGGAGGACCGAACCGACUAAUGUUGAAAAAUUAGCGGAUGACUUGUGGCUGGGGGUGAAAGGCCAAUCAAACCGGGAGAUAGCUGGUUCUCCCCGAAAGCUAUUUAGGUAGCGCCUCGUGAAUUCAUCUCCGGGGGUAGAGCACUGUUUCGGCAAGGGGGUCAUCCCGACUUACCAACCCGAUGCAAACUGCGAAUACCGGAGAAUGUUAUCACGGGAGACACACGGCGGGUGCUAACGUCCGUCGUGAAGAGGGAAACAACCCAGACCGCCAGCUAAGGUCCCAAAGUCAUGGUUAAGUGGGAAACGAUGUGGGAAGGCCCAGACAGCCAGGAUGUUGGCUUAGAAGCAGCCAUCAUUUAAAGAAAGCGUAAUAGCUCACUGGUCGAGUCGGCCUGCGCGGAAGAUGUAACGGGGCUAAACCAUGCACCGAAGCUGCGGCAGCAGGGUGAGUCGACCCCUAAGGCGAGGCCGAAAGGCGUAGUCGAUGGGAAACAGGUUAAUAUUCCUGUACUUGGUGUUACUGCGAAGGGGGGACGGAGAAGGCUAUGUUGGCCGGGCGACGGUUGUCCCGGUUUAAGCGUGUAGGCUGGUUUUCCAGGCAAAUCCGGAAAAUCAAGGCUGAGGCGUGAUGACGAGGCACUACGGUGCUGAAGCAACAAAUGCCCUGCUUCCAGGAAAAGCCUCUAAGCAUCAGGUAACAUCAAAUCGUACCCCAAACCGACACAGGUGGUCAGGUAGAGAAUACCAAGGCGCUUGAGAGAACUCGGGUGAAGGAACUAGGCAAAAUGGUGCCGUAACUUCGGGAGAAGGCACGCUGAUAUGUAGGUGAAGUCCCUCGCGGAUGGAGCUGAAAUCAGUCGAAGAUACCAGCUGGCUGCAACUGUUUAUUAAAAACACAGCACUGUGCAAACACGAAAGUGGACGUAUACGGUGUGACGCCUGCCCGGUGCCGGAAGGUUAAUUGAUGGGGUUAGCCGCAAGGCGAAGCUCUUGAUCGAAGCCCCGGUAAACGGCGGCCGUAACUAUAACGGUCCUAAGGUAGCGAAAUUCCUUGUCGGGUAAGUUCCGACCUGCACGAAUGGCGUAAUGAUGGCCAGGCUGUCUCCACCCGAGACUCAGUGAAAUUGAACUCGCUGUGAAGAUGCAGUGUACCCGCGGCAAGACGGAAAGACCCCGUGAACCUUUACUAUAGCUUGACACUGAACAUUGAGCCUUGAUGUGUAGGAUAGGUGGGAGGCUUUGAAGUGUGGACGCCAGUCUGCAUGGAGCCGACCUUGAAAUACCACCCUUUAAUGUUUGAUGUUCUAACGUUGACCCGUAAUCCGGGUUGCGGACAGUGUCUGGUGGGUAGUUUGACUGGGGCGGUCUCCUCCUAAAGAGUAACGGAGGAGCACGAAGGUUGGCUAAUCCUGGUCGGACAUCAGGAGGUUAGUGCAAUGGCAUAAGCCAGCUUGACUGCGAGCGUGACGGCGCGAGCAGGUGCGAAAGCAGGUCAUAGUGAUCCGGUGGUUCUGAAUGGAAGGGCCAUCGCUCAACGGAUAAAAGGUACUCCGGGGAUAACAGGCUGAUACCGCCCAAGAGUUCAUAUCGACGGCGGUGUUUGGCACCUCGAUGUCGGCUCAUCACAUCCUGGGGCUGAAGUAGGUCCCAAGGGUAUGGCUGUUCGCCAUUUAAAGUGGUACGCGAGCUGGGUUUAGAACGUCGUGAGACAGUUCGGUCCCUAUCUGCCGUGGGCGCUGGAGAACUGAGGGGGGCUGCUCCUAGUACGAGAGGACCGGAGUGGACGCAUCACUGGUGUUCGGGUUGUCAUGCCAAUGGCACUGCCCGGUAGCUAAAUGCGGAAGAGAUAAGUGCUGAAAGCAUCUAAGCACGAAACUUGCCCCGAGAUGAGUUCUCCCUGAC
rnacentral:rRNA from 1 species